rnacentral:rRNA from 1 species
CCCCUAGAUGUUCUGGGCCGCACGCGCGCUACACUGAACAGUUCAACAAGUCUUAACCUUGGCCGUUAGGUCUGGGUAAUCUUUGAACGCUGUUCGUGAUUGGGAUAGACCUUUGCAAUUAUGGGUCUUCAACGAGGAAUUCCUAGUAAACGCAAGUCAUCAGCUUGCAUUGAUUACGUCCCUGCCCUUUGUACACACCGCCCGUCGCACCUACCGAUUGAAUGGUCCGGUGAAAUCUCGGGACGGCGGCUUGGUCGCUUGCGUCCGACUGCUGAAACUUGAUUAAACCAUAUCAUUUAGAGGAAGGUGAAGUCGUAACA